GAUCGGAUGGCCACGUAUAGUUUCAGAGUUGAUUGGGACUCAGUAUUCCUAGUAUAACAAUAUUUUUGAGAUUUUGAAGCCUAUAUAGCUUCGAUUGAUGAGCCGUUUAUUGCGUUGGAUAGCUGGUGACAUCCUGGAGGUGCAAAAAGGCUUCAAGAGAGAUUUUAGAGAGCUUUUGUGAGGGUUUUGGGACUUUUUAUUGAGGGACUCUUGUACAAGGGUUAAGUGAUGAGUUUUUCUUGUAUUGGUUUAUUUUAUUCUCUCAUAAUGAAGCUUGCAUGCCCCAUGGAGGUAGGUUUGAGGCUGAUCCAUGUAUUUGUAUGGUGUUUCUUAUUUUAUUUUUUUUUCCUGCUGCACCAUGUGGUUUUGGAUCCUGCACAAUAGAAGAGUGGAGAGAGUCUAUGUAGAAGAAAUCAAUUUUCAACUAUGUCAUAUAUGGGGAAUCUGUUGCUCCUUGAAUUGAUUUUGAUGAUUACAAAGUAUUUGAGGGGGUUACUAAUAUUUUUGGAUUGAGAAAAGAUUUAUUAUUUUUCAGGGAUAAAAUCAUAAUUUUAUCAAGUUCUGAUUCGAAAACCUCAAGAGCAAGGACAGAAGACUUGUGAUCUAUUGGAGGCAAUUUCAAUAUUUUUGGAUGUGUAUUUUGAAAGA
rnacentral:lncRNA from 1 species